rnacentral:rRNA from 1 species
AUAUCAAUUAGAUGUCCGCCCCAUCAAUUGUUGACGGUAAGGUAGUGGCUUACCGUGGUUGCAACGGGUAACGGGGAAUCAGGGUUCGGUUCCGGAGAGGGAGCAUGAGAAAUGGCUGCCAGAUCUAUGGAUUGCAGCAGGUGCGUAAAUUAUCCACUUUUGGCAUAAAGAGAUAGUGAUCAUAAAUAGCGGAUUCGGGUAUUUGCCUGGAGAUCGCAAUGAAAUAAUCGUAAAAGCUUUAAUGAAUGCAAUUGGAGGGCAAGUCUGGUGCCAGCAGCCGCGGCAAUUCCAGUUCCAAUAGUGUAUACUAAAGUUGCUGCAGUUGAAAAGCUCGUAGUUGGAUCUCGGCUUGCUAGCGUGUGUGAGCGCGCAAGUAGGCCUUUGCUGUAGAGUGCUUAAAGCGCUACGGCUUUACCUUGAACAAAAUAGAGUGCUUAAAGCAAGCAUUCUGCUUGAAUAUCUCAGCAUGGAAUAAUAGAAUACGACUUUUCUGUUGGUUUACCAGCAAAAGUAAUGAUUAACAGAGACAGACGGGGGCAUCCGUAUUGCUCCGUUAGAGGUGAAAUUCGUAGAUCGGUGCAGGACGUACUACAGCGAAAGCAUUUGCCAAGGAUGUUUUCAUUAAUCAAGAACGACAGUUGGAGUAUCGAAGUCGAUUAGAUCUCGUCGUAGUUCCAACUAUAAACGAUGCCAACUAGCACUCCGCUGGUAAUAUUUUUUUUACACUAGCGGGUGGCUUCCGGGAAACCAAAGUCUUUGGGCUCCGGGGGAAGUAUGGUUGCAAAGCUGAAACUUAAAGGAAUUGACGGAAGGGCACCACCAGGAGUGGAGCUUGCGGCUCAAUUUGACUCAACACAGAAAAACUCACCCGGGCCGAACACAGUAAGGAUUGACAAAUUGACAGCUUUUUCUUGAUACUGUGGGUAGUGGUGCAUGGCCGUUGUUGGUUGGUGGAGUGAUUUGUCUGGUUUAUUCCGAUAACGAACGAGACUCAGACCUACUUACUAGUCGUUAGAUUAUCGUUUAACAACUACUAAGAGGGAUCAGUGUCAAAAACACUUGAAAAUGAGCAAUAACAGGUCUGUGAUUGCCCUUAGACGUUCGGGGCCGCACGCGUGCUACAAUGAAGAAAGCAAUGGGUGUCUUGCUUGGUAAAGCCGGCUUAGCCUUAAAAUUUCUUCGUGGCAGGAAUCGAGGCUUGUAAUUAUUCCUCGUGCACAAGG